ACUCGAGUGGCGAACGGGUGAGUAACACGUGGGUGAUCUGCCCUGCACUUCGGGAUAAGCCUGGGAAACUGGGUCUAAUACCGGAUAGGAGCCAUUUUUAGUGUGAUGGUUGGAAAGUUUUUCGGUGUAGGAUGAGCUCGCGGCCUAUCAGCUUGUUGGUGGGGUAAUGGCCUACCAAGGCGGCGACGGGUAGCCGGCCUGAGAGGGUGGACGGCCACAUUGGGACUGAGACACGGUCCAA
rnacentral:rRNA from 1 species